UGGUGCAGAGACUGCUGUCCAUUAUUGGUUACAGUGUAUUUGUUAAAAUGUUGCCAGUAAGAUUAUUUCCGUGUACAAGGUACUUUGAGUACCUUUAUGUGUUUUAUUCUGCACUUAAAACAUAAACGCAAUUUAAAUGCAGGCGUCUCGUCCUUAGAACUGCAAAAUAUGCAAGUGAAACUGGAAUAAACGCAAAUAAGGGUAAGAUUUUAUGUUUCUAUAUUACACGUGAUACGAGGUAGGGUAUAUAAUAAUUAUAUUUUAUGAAUGCAAAUUAAAUGCAAAACUCUUAAAAAAAUGGCAAAUUAUAUGCAGCUGAGGGUUUUUUUUUUCAAUCUUUUUGUUUGUGUUCAAUACAAUUAAACAAGAAAUUAGUGUAAACAAUGAAAUGAGUUGAGCAUUUCGGUCAGCUGAUUCGUCUGCGUUUGCUCGGAUUCAAGAUCUCCAGAAGAUGUAUGCAGCUCGUAAAAAUUUCGAAUAUUUCAAGACAUCGCCAAGACGUCUUGCAGAGAUAUUGCAGACGUCUUACUUUUCAAUGUUCGCGGCCGAUCUACAGAAGAUGAAGCGAUAUUUAGCAGACGUCUCCGCGACGUACGUGUGCUAUCUGGGUAGUAAUGUUUCAUUUACUACAGAAAAAAUGUAACGCAUGCCAUAGGAAAAGCCUAAGAUAACAACUAGCUCAAAGUUACUUUUCUUAAAUGGUUAUGUCGCAAUAAUCAUUCAUGGAAUGUGAAAAUUGUAAACGGGGUGUAAUGUAGAUAUUUUAUAUAAUGGAAACAUUGAGUGUUUGUUUAAACGAUAUGUGAGUGUAAUGUGUAUUAUUGCAGUAGUAGUGUUUGAGUGUGAACGUGUGUGGUUGAUGACAUGUUUCUUGUUGUAUUCACAGGAGUCCAUUAAAACUUACUGAUAUUGGGUUGUCACCAUCUCGUCAGGCAAAAAACACAAAUGAUGUCACUGUGAACAGCAGGACGAAAAUAUCAGUUGUUUGUCAAUUGUCAUAUGUGUUUGAGGAGAAAUUGUCUGCAACAACACCCCUUCUAACUCUUGGAGAAAUCUACAAAGAUACGAGAGAGUAUCAACUGGUGUCUGUGAAGGUGAAGAUUGUGAGAGUUUUUGAGAGGAAGGACUCGGUUGUUCGAGGACAAAGAAUGCCUAUGCAAAAUGUGAUUGUAGCAGAUGUGGACAACCUCAUGUUGUUAGCUGUUUGGGGUGUGAAUGACAUAAAGGUUGGAAAAUGGUACAAAGUGUUCAAUGUGUCCGUGAGGUUAUACAAAAACAAUCCUUCACAAAGCACAACUGCACAGACAACAAUUGAAAAAGUUCCAGACUGCGGGCCAGCAAAAGAUUCUGAUGAGACCGAGAUUAAAAGUGUGAAGGGUGAAAUUUUGGAAGCGGACGUGAAGGUUGAACAUUUUUGUCCAAAGUAUCAUGUACUUGGGAAUAUAAACAUGGCAACCUUAAUGACGAGGUGCAGUAAAUGUGCAUCUUAUUGUAAAACCUCCAAGACAACUGUUGAGAUUCGAGGGCAUGUUGGUGUUUUAAUUGAAGGACAACAUGAGAAAUUUUACUUGAGUGAUGGUGAGUUACGUGAGCUACUAGGAGUGAAACCUGGACAAAGUGUGGAACCUGAUCGUCUGAUAGCAGAUAUACUUGUGCAUGAUGUCAUGGUGGUGCAAUUUUGGAGGAACGUAAUGAUGAAGGUUAGUUUCCUGGAUAACAGCGACGAAAGCUCUGAAGGGCCCUCAAAAGUAUGUUCACAUUCAAGUGGCAGUGCAGAUGCAGUUGAUGGUGAACUGUUGGGAGAUUUGGAGAGUGUUUUUAAUUGUUAAAAGGAAUCUUUUAAUGUAAAGGGAUGUGUGCAAUGUGUGUCUAGAAAGUGUGGACUCUCAUUUUCAUUCCAAGUUUAAGCAUGCAGCGGUAUAAUGUAAAUAGAACUGGGUGUGUGCGUUUUAUGACUUGACACAGAUUUCCACGAAAACACUGCAUGGUUAUUAUAGUAACGUAAGAAGAUUUGUGUGGUUCUGUUUACACAUGGGUGAUGUGUGUGUUGUUGAAGGUUUAGAGACUGAUGUUUAGAGACUGAUGUUCAUUUCUAGAGUAAGUAUGUAGUGUUGUAAUUUAUAUAGAUCUGAUGUGGUUUCUUGAAGGUCGUGAUACUUAUUAUGAUUCUUUUAAAAAGCAUGCAAUGUUUAAUACUAAUAAUAAUUUGUUGCAUAUAUAUAUUACUUUCAUGCAGCACUCAAAAUGCUUUACAUAUGAAAGGGGGAUUUUCCUAUGUUUGAUAUCUAGAAAGUUUUGACACAUAUUUUCAUUUCUAGAAUAAGAAUGAAUCGUUACAAUGUAAAUGAUCUAUGUAGUGUCUUUUUGAAAGACUAUGAUAUGGGUUUGGAUUACUAGAGAGAAAGCAUGCAGCAAGUUAAUUUAAAGGAACAGUUUGUAGGAUUGUGGGCAAAAUUGCUAUUGCAAUUCUACAACUGGUGGGCAAAAAACAAAAUGAAAACAUAAACAUCAGUUGAAGGCUGAAACUCCACUUUUUAAAUGAGAAUAUCCUGGCCAGACUACUGUUAUGAGUGAUAUAAGUAUUUGUAAUGAAAAUGAUUUCUUAAUGUGUAGUGACAUCAGGGACAUUUGAUGAGUAAUUGAAGAGUUUGGUUCCAAAACGCAAUAAAUCCAUUUUGACAAAUUUCGGUAAAAACGUGUUUUCUAUACCAAGAAAGUGACAAGAUGAAAACCAGUAUUUUCUGUUACAAACUUUCACAUAGCAUCUUUAUGUUAUAAAAACAUAAAAAAUUCAAAUCCAUAACUUGAUUUUCAAAGAUUUAUUAUAAAAACUAAUUCUUUUUUUCCACAAAAUGCAAUAAAUCCAUGACAGUUUUUUUAUUUCAAAAUGCUAUAAAUCUAUUAAAUCAAUGUAUAAAUGUGCAUUCAUCUUUACCAUUUUAUAUUUAUUUAGUUGACUAGUGGUAUACAAUGAUUAAAAAAUAAACAUUAAUGGCAUUAACCAAAACACUUACUUUGUUAUAUUAAGAACACAAUGUUUUAGCAUGAGAAGCUUGAUGCUGUCUGGAGAGCAAGCAACCGAGUGCCUCUCGCGGAAAUUAUUAGCUGUUGAUGGCUUACGUUUCUUUCCCGUCACAGAAAACCAUCACAGGUUUAGCAAUGCUAUUAAAGUAUUAUUUUGUUUUGUUUGUUGAUCACGAAGUACAAAGUAGAUGAGGAAAACUAGGACUCCGUGUACUCAGCGCGCCGCCAUGUUUGUUUACAUUGCGUGAAUGGUCCGCUGUAAUAUCAGAAAUGGAUUUAUUGCAUUCUGUAAAAAAGGAGGAGUGGCGUUUGUCGCAUUUUGGGAAAAGAGGGAGAAAAGAUGACAGAAUAUCACGGCGGGUAUUGGAUUUUGCGUAAAAUUAAUUAUUUACUUUUAACUACUGACCUGAUAUAAUACUGAUUUUGGCAGUAACUCAUUUUUUUCAAAAAUGGCGUUUAUUGCGUUUUGGAACCAAACUCUUCAAUUGUUAUACAUUUCUUACAUGCUGUUCUUUUAAUGUAGUUGUACAUAAAUAAUACUGAGGAGUUUAUGGACAUGAAGGCAGCUUAAUUUUUUUGUACUAGGUGGUUUAAGGAGUGGUUAUGUAAACAUUGUGUAUUUAUGACUUGCUGUGAGUAAAUAUUUUGUAAUCUGCAAAGCAUUGUCAAUCGGUACUGUUAUGGUGUGGCAAGAAAUAGUUUAAGAAAUAAAUAGUUGUUAUUGAUGUAAAUGGACAUGGUUUGCUAAUGUGAAUGAUAUACCAAUAGUUUGAGAAGAAAUAAAGUGUUGUAUUUUAGUAAUUGUUCAUUGGUUGUUAAUGUGAAUGCUAUGACAAUUUGAGCACUUAAAUUUUGUCAAAUGUAUAUGUAGCAUUUGUUAUUUAGAUGUUUGUUUGAAAAGAGGUGUAAUGUGAAUAUUUGGUCAGUAUUGAAUUGUUUAUGUGCAAUAAAUAAUGCUAUGAUAAAUGAGUUGUCUUUGUUUUUCUUGAUAGUUUACGGUGUUUGUAUUUUUAAAAUUAUGUAGCAAAGAAAAGGUAUUAUAAAGUAAAAUGUGGUCUUAUUGUAAGUAAAGAAUUUUUUGUUGAAACAUGGUAGUUUUCAUGAAGUUGUAGAAUUUGCAUUUAUAAUAACUUUAGUGUAAUAAAAAAAUUAAGUGUACAUUGUUGCUAAUAUGUUUGAAGUGUAAGCAAAGUGUAAUGAAGUUGACAUUUUCAGAGUAAUUCAAUAGAGUUUUCAUAGAAGUUUGUACAAAUUUUUGACUUUUACAGAAUUCACAUAUAUUUUCAUCAGUAAAUACUGUAAGAAGGUGUGUAUAAGUUUGUGUAAUUAGGGAAAGUGUUAUAAGAUGAAAUGUGGAGGAAGUAUGAAUUUUGACAUAGUAAUGCAGGGAAUCUCAAAGUUUUGAUAAAAAUUGUUAAAGGUUCUAUGUAAAAUCUAUAUAUUGUGUAGAUUCUACAUUAGGGCUAUAAAAUGUUACCCUGGAGGGCCCUGCACUGCAUAGUUUAGCUCCAACUGUGAUCAAAGACACAUGAGCAACAUAAUUAACGUCAUCUUGAUUACUAGACAAUCACAGGUGGUUAAGGGUUUGAGCUAAACUAUGUAGUGAUGGGUCCUCCAGGGUAAUAUUUGAGUAGCCCUGUUUCACAUGAUAUGUAGAUGUUAACACAUACAUUUGUUUAUUUUACAUUUGUUUAUACCUUAUUACUCGCCAGGUUUAUACAAGAACAUUGUUACUGUUGAAUAGUUUGUAAAACCUACAUGACUCAAGAACCUUGAGGCAUGUUAAAUGAAUUUAUCUGCAUCUACUGUACAUGUAAUAGAAGUUUUAUUUGUACUGUUGUUGCCAUGAGGGACAAUAAAUGGAAAUAACGUUGAAGUUAAACCAGCAGUUUAAUGAUAAGAAAACCUUGUGAUUUUAAAUGCAAUCUUUCAGAAAUUGUCAUAAAUAAGGGUGUGCUAUAUUUCCAUGAAAUAUGUGACUUUGCUGUUUAUUUUAUAGGAAAUAACAUUGCAUACAUUCAAGAGAAUCACAAUUGGGUUAUUUUACAGACCAAAUAUCAAUGGAGUGCUUGAAAUGGAUGUUUGAAAGCCAAUGUUGAUAUUUGAAAUCACCUAAACAAACACGCCCCAAACCCAAUAGUAUCGGGACCUUCUUUUAAAACACCCGCCUCAAACAUACGCAACCCGCAAGGAUGUUGGUUAGUAGACACGGUCCUUACUGCUGAUUGGCUAUAAGUCUGGUAUCCUUUUUCAAAGGGUUUUUCAAAUAUUGUGCACUCCGCCUUUAACAUCCACAUCAUAUGUGAUUUAUGUGAAAGACAACAAAGUUUGUUUGUUUAUAUGUACACAGUGUGUCAAACAUGUUGCUGUCAAAAUUGGCAAGCAGUUGCUUCAAGGAUUUGUUGCAGGAUCCGAGAACACUAUGGGAGUUGAGGUGUUAGAUGUUCCUGUGUGCUAAAAGGAAUAGGUGAGUCCAAAAUUACAACUGUUGCGUGAUGUGUUUUUGAAACGCAUACAGUGUGUAUACAGUUGGGUUGGGGGGUUUGAGGGCAAAGAAUGAUUUUUACAAAAUUUGAUACCCAUCUUAACUCUUGGAGAAAUCAACAAACAUAAGAGUGUAUCAAGGGGUGAAGAUGGUCAGAGUUUUUGAGAGGAAGGACGUUGUUGUUGUAUAAAGAAUGUCUUAAGAAAAUGUGAUUGUCGCAGAUGUGGACCACGUCAUGAUGUUAGCUUUGUGGAGUGAGAAUGACAUCAAAGUUGUAAAAUUGUACAAUACAUUGAAUGUGUCUAAGGUUAUACAAGAAUAUUCCUUUACAAAGCACAACUGCACAGACAACAAUUGAAAAAUUAUAGACUGCAGGACAGCAAAAGAUUCUGAUGAGACCGAGAUUAAAAGUGCGAAUGGAGAAAUUUUGGAAGAUGUGAAGGUUGAACAUUGUCCAAAGCAUCAUGUCGUACUAGAGAACAAACUUUGAUACCUUUAUGAUGAGAUGCAUUAAGUGUGCUGCUGCUAGUGAAACUUCUAAGACCACUUUGGAAAUUCGAGGGCAUGUUGGCAUUUUACUUGAAGGACAACAGUAGACAUUUACUUGAGUGAUUGUCAAGCUUUCACUCCUAGAAGCUCACGUAACAAAGUAUAGCAUGUGAUUGGCUGGCAGCAGGUAUAUUUGUGCAUGAUGUAAUGGUUGUGCAGUUUUGGAAGAAUGUGAUGUUGAAGUUUGACUUGUUAGAUUCCUUGAGGUAUGCCAAGACCACGUUCAUGAUUUUAGACUCAAGUUUGCAGUAGUUAUAAGUGAAAAUAAGAAUUUUUCGAAACGUUGCAUGCACCCUCAGGUAACGACUAUGAGACAUACCAUGUUUAGUGUCGAUACGGCUAAGUUUUGCGAACAUACGGCCUGACGUCUAUUUUGGCGUGUUUGCCGCCUUAUAUGGUGUCUCUAUAUUCAAACCACUAGGUGGCCAAAUGACAAAAUUGUGCAUGCUACCUCAGGUCAUAACUGUGUUGCAUGUAGUUUGUUUUAUUACUCUACACUGGACACUACUUGUAAUUUUAGAAUUAUUGAGCAUGUACAGUUUUUACACAUAUAGAUCUGUGCAAUGUAUAUUAAAUUAUUUUGACACGUUAUUUUAGGCAUCAAAACCAAUGUAAUUUGUUAAUAAAAAUGUGAAGAAAAAGUUGUUUGCAAAGCUAUUUUUUCACUAGUACAAGGAAGUUCUUGAAUGGAAUGUUUAAUGUAAUAUUUAAUUUUUGUAAGUGUUCAAAGUUUGCUAAUAUGUAUUAUAUGCCAGAGUACUAGUGCACGGUUUAAAGAGUAACUACACCCUAAACCAACUUUUUUUAGUUAAUGAUCUGUAAGAAUGAUGCUUUAUUAGUGCUGUUCAUUGAUUUUAGUAAGUUUUUUGACAUUAAGAUAUAAAGUGUUUCAAUACUGCAAUAUAUGGUGUAAAAACGUCUGAGUGCUGCCCUCUUCAGGUUGAACGGUGGUUACUGCAGUUGAAUUGUCCUAUUGGAUGUUGGGUUCAAAAAAUGACUCGUGACGUAAGCAGGUUCAAGCUCACCCUGCCCUUGUUACGGUCUCACCAUACACUUGGUACAAGCUUAGUUCGUCCCCUCUAUCUCCGUUGGGAUCUGCCCACUUUUCUUGCAUUUUUCAAAUAUUGCCAGUGGGUGGAGUCAGGCUCUGACCAGGGGUUUAGUUACGCUUAAUUUGACUUAAUUGUAUGCGUUGCAUUUGUUCUAUGUCCAAAUGUUUACCGCAAAAUUCCUUGAUUUUCAAAGAACAAUAAUGUGAAUAUGUCUGCAGUGACCUGUAUGUGUCCAAUAAAUGAUUAUAAUAUAA